AGCAGUGGGGACACAGGAGAACUUUUUGCCAGCCCUGGGUCAGCCUGUUCCAUGGCUGCCCCCGGGCUGAGCUAAGGGAAGGAUGGAAGAAGAGCCCUGUGCAAAGUUAACACACCAGACGCGGGCAGCCCGUGGAGCUGUGCAGGCAUGAGUUGUCAGUUGGUCCUGUUUUGACUGUGAAGACGCAAUGUUACGAAAAAAUGAGAGAAGAAUUGUCAAAAUAAUAGCAGAAUUCCUUCAAGCUUGAAAGUGAGUGCUCUAAGCUUGAGACCCAUUCUGGAGAAAUUUCCUCUAUGCGGUAUAAUUAAUUGUGCUUUUUUAAUUGAGUUUGUACUUAAGGUUUUUUUUUUUGUUAUGCUAAUGACAGACAUGCUACAGCAUUAUUCCUGUCUUGUUUUGUCAUAGGAGGAUUUCCUUCUGAAAUCACUCAUGAGUUAGUAAUGAGUUGUCACAGAAGAAAAACUCCAGUACGCAGUUCUGAUAACUUAUACAAGAAGUCUGAAAACAGACUCAUGAGAAUCGUAAGAGAUGCAGAGUCAUGGAAAAUCUAAACAAGAAUCUUGCGUCGCAGACUGACAUGCUCAGGCAUGAACUCCAGGCCAAGGUAAAGACGUCGCGAAGAGAGUUUAGCAGCUGAGAACCUGCUUUUGUGCUGCACACUCAGUGAUAUCAAAUUGCCUUCUGGCCCCUUCAGUUGUCUACUUAAACACAAAUUAAUUAGAAAAUUAAUUAUCAGACCUUUGUUUUAGAUCUGCACAGGAAAUUGUGUAUCUGUUGCCAAUUAAUAACAUCUAUGAUAAGGUAUUACAUGCUGUGAAAGUUUAAUAGAUCUAACUGCAUUUGCAGCUCUAGUACAGAGACUUUCUGGUUAAGAGCUUAAUGGUGGUCAGGACCUUACUAUUUGAGUCACUUGCUAAAAUACUGUGACAUGUGCCUGGAGAAGGUCAUUUGAUCAUUGCAAUGGUUGCUUCUGGCCUUAGAAGUCUGGUCAUUUAUAAGCAAUUAAG
rnacentral:lncRNA from 1 species